rnacentral:rRNA from 1 species
UAGGGAAUCUUCCGCAAUGGACGCAAGUCUGACGGAGCAACGCCGCGUGAGUGAAGAAGGAUUUCGGUUCGUAAAACUCUGUUGUUAGAGAAGAACAGCGCAUAGAGUAACUGUUAUGCGUGUGACGGUAUCUAACCAGAAAGCCACGGCUAACUACGUGCCAGCAGCCGCGGUAAUACGUAGGAGGCAAGCGUUGUCCGGAUUUAUUGGGCGUAAAGCGAGCGCAGGCGGUCAAUUAAGUCUGAUGUGAAAGCCCCCGACUCAACCGGGCAGGGUCAUUGGAAACUGGUUGACUUGAGUGCAGAAGAGGAGAGUGCAAUUCCCUGUGUAGCGGUCAAAUGCGUAGAUAUAUGGAGGAACACCAGUGGAGAAGACGACUCUCUGGUCUGUAACUGACGAUGAGGCUCGAAAGCGUGGGUAGCAAACAGG